GCCUUCUGUGGGUAGCUGGCUGCUGCUCGGAAAGGACAGAGGGGCCUCCGUUCCAGUCGUGGCCUCUGACAUCCUCAUAGAUUAAGGAGAGCUGCCCUUACCAAGCCUUUGGAGGUUUCAGACCAUUGUUGCUGCCAAAUGCAUCCCAUCAGGGACAGUUACUAUGUGUAAAAGAAUAGUUUUGUAUCCUCUCCAUAGAGUUGGUUAGGAGAUGACACUCAAAGAAGUGGGCUUAUGCAAAUAAAAAGAAGAUGUUAAAUGCAGAGCAAGAUCUACCUCCAAAAGGACACAAUCAUUUGAUCCUUCAACAAAUAUUACUGUGCACUCACAUCUAAGAUACCAGACGAGGUGCUAACUCUGAAAUAAGGUAUGAGAAGAUGUUGAAGAGGCACCCAGGUCGUCCAGUACUUUCAAAACCAAGAUGGAAGAUCAAACUACAAAAAUCAGAAUACAACGUAGCAUGUUGAACACCACACGUGUGAGUGGGACAGAUAAUUUGUGCUGGGAUGUUUCCAAGCAAUAAAGGGUCUUAUGAACUCCAAA